rnacentral:rRNA from 1 species
GAGUUUGAUCAUGGCUCAGAACGAACGCUGGCGGCGUGGAUAAGACAUGCAAGUCGAACGAAACUACUUGCGUAGCAAUAUGCGAGUGAUUUAGUGGCGAAAGGGUGCGUAACACGUGAGGAAUCUGCCGAUAAGUGGGGAAUAGCUCGCCGAAAGGCGAAUUAAUACCGCGUGCAAUUUAGACGUAAUCGCGUCUAAAUUAAAGCAGAAGCAAUUCUGCGCUUAUUGAUGACCUCGCGGCCUAUCAGCUAGUUGGCGGGGUAAUAGCCCACCAAGGCAAUGACGGGUAGCUGGUCUGAGAGGACGACCAGCCACACUGGAACUGAGACACGGUCCCAGACACCUACGGGUGGCAGCAGUCGAGAAUUUUUCUCAAUGGGCGAAAGCCUGAAGGAGCGACGCCGCGUGGAGGAUGAAGGUCUUCGGAUUGUAAACUCCUGUCAUCGGCGAACAAAGCCGGUUUUUAAUCGGUCUGAUAGUAGUCGAAG